rnacentral:rRNA from 1 species
AGAGUUUGAUCCUGGCUCAGGAUGAACGCUGGCGGCGUGCCUAAUACAUGCAAGUCGAACGAGGUGCUUGAGUAGCAAUACAAGAGUAUCCUAGUGGCGAACGGGUGAGUAACGCGUUGGUGACCUACCCCAAAGUGUGGGAUAACAGUCCGAAAGGAUUGCUAAUACCGCAUGUGGUUAUUGGAUCUAGAAACUGAUAACUAAAGGAGCAAUUCGCUUUGGGAGGGACCUGCGUCCCAUCAGCUAGUUGGUGAGGUAAUGGCUCACCAAGGCUACGACGGGUAGGGGACCUGAGAGGGUGGCCCCCCACAAUGGAACUGAAACACGGUCCAUACACCUACGGGUGGCAGCAGUAGGGAAUAUUGCACAAUGGGCGAAAGCCUGAUGCAGCAACGCCGCGUGUGCGAUGAAGGCCUUCGGGUCGUAAAGCACUUUUCUAAGAGAUGAGAAAGGACAGUAUCUCAGGAAUAAGUCUCGGCUAACUACGUGCCAGCAGCCGCGGUAACACGUAGGAGGCGAGCGUUAUCCGGAUUCACUGGGCGUAAAGCGCGUGCAGGCGGUUUGGUAAGUUGAUCGUGAAAGCUCCCGGCUCAACUGGGAGAGGUCGUUCAAUACUACCGAACUAGAGAGUAGAAGAGGAAGAUGGAAUUCCCGGUGUAGUGGUGAAAUGCGUAGAUAUCGGGAGGAACACCAGUGGCGAAGGCGAUCUUCUGGUCUAUUUCUGACGCUCAGACGCGACAGCUAGGGUAGUAAACGGGAUUAGAGACCCCGGUAAUCCUAGCCGUAAACGAUGUGAACUUGGCGUCGGUGGCUUAAACACCAUCGGUGCCGAAGCAAACGCGAUAAGUUCACCGCCUGGGGACUACGGCCGCAAGGUUAAAACUCAAAGGAAUUGACGG